UACGUAGGGUGCAAGCGUUGUCCGGAAUUAUUGGGCGUAAGGAGCUCGUAGGCGGUCUGUCACGUCGGCUGUGAAAACCUGGGGCUUAACUCCGGGCCUGCAGCCGAUACGGGCAGACUAGAGUUCGGCAGGGGAGACUGGAAUUCCUGGUGUAGCGGUGAAAUGCGUAGAGAUGAGGAGGAACACCAGUGGCGAAGGCGACUCUCUGGACUAUAACUAACACUGAGGCGCGAAAGCGUGGGGAGCAAACAGG
rnacentral:rRNA from 1 species